AAAGGGCUUCGGCCCCAGUAAAGCGGCGCACGGGUGAGUAACACGUAGGUGAUCUUCCCCUGAGUGGUGGAUAACUCUCCGAAAGGAGAGCUAAUACAGCAUAAGACCACGACCUCGCUGAGGUUGCGGCCAAAGCAGACCUCUUCAUGAAAGUUUGCGCUUAGGGAUGAGCCUGCGGCCCAUCAGCUAGUUGGUAGGGUAAUGGCCUACCAAGGCUAAGACGGGUAGCUGGUCUGAGAGGAUGAACAGCCACACUGGAACUGAGACACGGUCCAGACUCCUACGGGAGGCAGCAGUGGGGAAUCUUGCGCAAUGGGCGAAAGCCUGACGCAGCGACGCCGCGUGAGCGAUGAAGGCCUUCGGGUUGUAAAGCUCUGUGGGGAGGGAAGAAUAAGUCUUGGCUAAUAUCCAAGAUGAUGACGGUACCUCCUUAGCAAGCACCGGCUAACUCUGUGCCAGCAGCCGCGGUAAGACAGAGGGUGCAAACGUUGUUCGGAAUUACUGGGCGUAAAGCGCGUGUAGGCGGCUAAGUAAGUCGGGCGUGAAAUCCCACGGCUCAACCGUGGAAGUGCACUCGAAACUGCAUAGCUAGAGUCCUGGAGAGGAAGGUGGAAUGCUUGGUGUAGAGGUGAAAUUCGUAGAUAUCAAGCGGAACACCGGUGGCGAAGGCGGCCUUCUGGACAGUGACUGACGCUGAGACGCGAAAGCGUGGGGAGCAAACAGGAUUAGAUACCCUGGUAGUCCACGCCGUAAACGAUGAGUGCUAGGUGUCACGGGCUUUGACCCUCGUGGUGCCGAAGCUAACGCGUUAAGCACUCCGCCUGGGGAGUACGGCCGCAAGGCUAAAACUC
rnacentral:rRNA from 1 species